rnacentral:tRNA from 1 species
GGAGAUGUAGCCCAGUGGGUAGAGUGUUUGCCUAACACACACAAAGUCCAGGGUUCGAUCCCCGUCUCCG